rnacentral:rRNA from 1 species
UACAGGGGGGGCAAGCGUUGUUCGGAAUUACUGGGCGUAAAGGGCCAGUAGGCGGCCAACUAAGUCCGACGUGAAAUCCCAAGGCUUAACCUUGGAACUGCGUCGGAUACUGGAUGGCUUGAAUUCGGGAGAGGGAUGCAGAAUUCCAGGUGUAGCGGUGAAAUGCGUAGAUAUCUGGAGGAAUACCGGUGGCGAAGGCGGCAUCCUGGACCGACAUUGACGCUGAAAGGCGAAAGCUAGGGGAGCAAACGGG